rnacentral:other from 1 species
CUUUUCCUGCCUCGUGCGUGAUGCGUCGGUUAAUUAAACCCACAACUAUUAAAAGGAGUCCGAGUCGGACGGGGGGAAUGCAGACCUCCCUCUCCGCCCUGCGUUUGACGAACUAUAUGUCCGUCACCACGGCGGAAAAGGAUGCUGGGAGCACAAAGCCGUUCGGGAGGACACCUACCUUGCUGCGGCAGGGUUUAUAAUUGCCGACGCACACGGCGAAGCGGGACUUUU